rnacentral:rRNA from 1 species
UACGUAGGGUGCGAGCGUUGUCCGGAAUUAUUGGGCGUAAAGGGCUCGUAGGCGGUUUGUCGCGUCGGGAGUGAAAUCCACUGGCUUAACUGGUGGCUUGCUUUCGAUACGGGCAGACUGGAGGUAUGCAGGGGAGAACGGAAUUCCUGGUGUAGAGGUGAAAUUCGUAGAUAUCAGGAGGAACACCGGUGGCGAAGGCGGCUUUCUGGACGAUAACUGACGCUGAGACGCGAAAGCGUGGGGAGCAAACAGG